AACUCAAAGGAAUUGACGGGACCCGCACAAGCGUGGAGCAUGUGGUUUAAUUCGAAGCAACGCGAAGAACCUUACCAGGUCUUGACAUCCCUCUGACCGGUCCGUAACGGGACCGUUUCCUUCGGGACAGAGGAGACAGGUGGUGCAUGGUUGUCGUCAGCUCGUGUCGUGAGAUGUUGGGUUAAGUCCCGCAACGAGCGCAACCCUUGUCUUUAAUUGCCAUCAUUUAGUUGGGCACUUUAAAGAGACUGCCGGUGUUAAGCCGGAGGAAGGUGGGGAUGACGUCAAGUCCUCAUGGCCUUUAUGCCCAGGGCUACACACGUGCUACAAUGGGCGGUACAAAGAGCUGCAAGACCGUGAGGUUGAGCGAAUCCCAGAAAGCCGGUCUCAGUUCGGAUUGGAGUCUGCAACUCGACUCCAUGAAGUUGGAAUCGCUAGUAAUCGCGGAUCAGCAUGCCGCGGUGAAUACGUUCCCGGGCCUU
rnacentral:rRNA from 1 species